rnacentral:rRNA from 1 species
AUGAACGCUAGCGACAGGCCUAACACAUGCAAGUCGAGGGGCAGCACAAGGAGCAAUCUGAGGUGGCGACCGGCGCACGGGUGAGUAACACGUAUGCAACCUGCCUGUAAGCGGGGAAUAACCCGUUGAAAGACGGACUAAUACCGCAUAAUACUAAAUUACUGCAUGGUAAUUUAUUUAAACAUUUAUGGCUUACAGAUGGGCAUGCGCAUGAUUAGCUAGUUGGAGAGGUAACGGCUCCCCAAGGCAACGAUCAUUAGGGGUUCUGAGAGGAAGGUCCCCCACACUGGUACUGAGACACGGGCCAGACUCCUACGGGAGGCAGCAGUGAGGAAUAUUGGUCAAUGGACGAGAGUCUGAACCAGCCAAGUCGCGUGCAGGAAGAAUGUCCUAAUGGAUUGUAAACUGCUUUUGCAGGGGAAUAAAGUGCAUCACGUGUGAUGUUUUGUAUGUACUCUGCGAAUAAGGAUCGGCUAACUCCGUGCCAGCAGCCGC